UUGACAUUCACAGCUGACAAUAUUUGUGACUCAAUCAUUUCAGCCUCAUUUACAUUCUCAAUUUUGGUCAUAACUUGUCACUGAAUUUUUUAAGGGACUUGUAUUAAAGAGGAGUAUUAGGGGACAGAAGAAAUUGUCAUAAACUCACCAGCCCAUCAUUUGGCCUUACCUGCUGUUGGAGGCUGAACGCGUUGAUAAACAUUGCUAGAGUGUUGCAGUCAGUGGGAGUUAGGAGUCCACAUUUGCCGUAAGAAGAACCAGAGAAGUCACCUGAGUGACUCAGGUACUUGGAGAAGAACCAUUGAGACAGAAGAGACUGGAUACAAAUGGAACAUCAUAGGGAUAACAACACAGGACAGGAGAUCUUGUAGCCGGCUUAUGUGUAGACAUCCACGAAGAGGAGCUAUAGUGACUCAGCUUCCUGGGCCUCAAAAGACUAGCUAUUACACCCUACAGUAGGAGCAGUUCCUAUCGCCUAAAAGCAGAAAGAGGUUCUCUUAUCAUGUGAUCCAUUUCUGGACUGUGGAGUGUUGUGACAUUAUUGAUGUUAAACAGCUGUGAUGAAGACUGGAUAUUUGGGGUCACUCUCUGUUACAGUACUAUGUAUCCAAGUUGAGUUGAGUGGAAUAAUGAAUCUCCAGAUAUCCAUGUACACGUGUGUGAUUAAAGUUCUGUUGCACUCGCGCAUGCGAGCUUAUCCUA